AAUAGAUACCCCGGUAGUCCUUACUGUAAACGAUGUAUACUUGGUGUAACCGGACUCAACCCUGGUUGUGCCGUAGCUAACGUGAUAAGUAUACCGCCUGAGGAGUACAGUCGCAAGGCUGAAACUCAAAAGAAUUGACGGGGACCCGCACAAGCAGUGGAGCAUGUGGUUUAAUUCGAUGCAACGCGAAGAACCUUACCCAGGCUUGACAUGCACAGGAAUAUAGCAGAGAUGCUAUAGCCCUUCGGGGUCUGUGCACAGGUGCUGCAUGGCUGUCGUCAGCUCGUGCCGUGAGGUGUUUGGUUAAGUCCAGCAACGAGCGCAACCCUUAUCAUUAGUUGCCAACACGUAAUGGUGGGAACUCUAGUGAGACUGCCUAGGUUAACUAGGAGGAAGGUGAGGAUGACGUCAAGUCCGCAUGGCCCUUAUGUCUGGGGCUACACACGUGCUACAAUGGUCGGUACAGAAGGCAGCAAAACCGCAAGGUGAAGCAAAUCCCAAAAAGCCGGCCCCAGUUC
rnacentral:rRNA from 1 species